ACGAACGCUGGCGGCGUGCUUAAUACAUGCAAGUCAACUGAACUUGAGGUAGUAAUAUUUCAAGGGAGGUGGCGCACGGGUGAGUAACACGUAGGUAAUCUGCCUUUAGGUCUGACAUAAUUCCGCGAAAGCGGGACUAAUUUCAGAUGAUGCAGCGGCUCGACAUCGAGACAGUUGUUAAAUCUUCGGAGCCUAAAGAUGAGCCUGCGUCUGAUUAGGAGUUGGACGGGGUAAAAGCCACCAAGCCUGCGAUCAGUAGCUGGUCUGAGAGGAUGAUCAGCCACACUGGAACUGAGACACGGUCCAGACUCCUACGGGAGGCGGCAGUAAGGAAUAUUGCUC
rnacentral:rRNA from 1 species